GCCGGGUUAGCUCAAUCGGUAGAGCGAGACUCUUAAUCUCAAGGCUGCGGGUUCGACCCCCGCAUUCGGCU
rnacentral:tRNA from 1 species